CCGUGGACGGGCCGCGAGGCACGAGAGGGCGGGCAAGAAAGGAGAUGAUGGGGCAAAACUGCCGGCGAUUCCUCCGGCCUUCCAAGAAGCGGUGGUGGUUCCAUCUUUAUGGAGGUUUCUUCCAUCCGUUUUCCUUCUUCUCCUCCUCACCCAGAUACUGUCGCCUCCUCUUCUUCCGACGGCAGACAAGGCUCACCAUGACACAGCUGGAGCGUCUCAAGGUGGAGGAGAAGGUCUUCGAAAUCGACCGCGUCAUCCAUGGCACUGCCUCUCUCAUCCAGCCGCCCUUCGUGUUUUUGUUUUAUAAUAUGAAAAAGUGGUUGGCAAUGAAAGCUCUGUUCAUUUCAACUGUCAAGCAUAUGAAGUUGGUUUUGCCGGAGAGAUGCCAUAAGUGAGCUCAAAAUUGCAGAUGAACAUUUUAUAUGUUAGGAGAAGCGUGAAUCCUUUAAUUAAAAAGAAGACUUUGUUGGUGCACCACAGGUUCCUGAUCUCUAGCAGUAAGGCGUGAAGCUGACAAAGUAAAAGGAGCAACGAGGAAAUGAAUCAACGGUAAAAAGCUGAAGGCCAAUCGCUGAGCUACCCCUUAUUUUGAGUGUAUUACUAUCGAUUUACAACGAGGAAAUGAAUCAACGAGAGCUUUUACUA